AGGAGAGAGGAACCUGCAGCUUGAGGAAGUUCAGAGAAAACCCAGCCCUUUCACCAAGCUGUGAAGAAGCCAAGCAGUUCUCAUGGAAAAACCACAUAUAUGUAUUUCUGCCAAGAGGCCCAGCCAAGAUCCCAGCAACAGCCAGCAUCAACUACCAGACAUAAACCGGCCGGGUGGAGGAUGCAGCCGGGCGUGGUGGCUACAAGGAAGUGCCCUGGUGUUAAGAACUCAGCCUCUGAAACCCGCCGCCCAGCUUCGAGUCAGCGACGUACUUUUGUUGUCCCGGCCUUAGUAUCCCCGCUGCAAUAAGAGGUACUCAGCUCAAACCAUCUGGGUGAGGAUUAAAGGAGUUCAUAUCCAUAAAGGACUAGAACAGGUCCUGGCACCACGUAAACAUUCUUAUCAUCAAAUGUGAAAAAACAAAGUUCUCUAAGAUUUCGAAA
rnacentral:lncRNA from 10 species